rnacentral:rRNA from 1 species
GUGACCUCAAAUCAGGUAGGACUACCCGCUGAACUUAAGCAUAUCAAUAAGCGGAGGAAAAGAAACUAACAAGGAUUCCCCUAGUAACUGCGAGUGAAGCGGGAAAAGCUCAAAUUUAAAAUCUGGCAGUCUUUGGCUGUCCGAGUUGUAAUCUAGAGAAGUGUUAUCCGCGCUGGACCGUGUACAAGUCUCCUGGAAUGGAGCGUCAUAGAGGGUGAGAAUCCCGUCUUUGACACGGACUACCAGGGCUUUGUGAUGCGCUCUCAAAGAGUCGAGUUGUUUGGGAAUGCAGCUCAAAAUGGGUGGUAAAUUCCAUCUAAAGCUAAAUAUUGGCGAGAGACCGAUAGCGAACAAGUACCGUGAGGGAAAGAUGAAAAGAACUUUGGAAAGAGAGUUAAACAGUACGUGAAAUUGCUGAAAGGGAAACGCUUGAAGUCAGUCGCGUCGUCCAGGGAUCAACCUUGCUUUUGCUUGGUGCAYUUUCUGGUUGACGGGUCAGCAUCAAUUUUGACCAUUGGAAAAAGAUCAGGGGAAUGUGACAUCUUUGGAUGUGUUAUAGCCCUUGGUUGCAUACGAUGGUUGGGAUUGAGGAACUCAGCACGCCGCAAGGCCGGGUU